UACGAAGGGUGCAAGCGUUAAUCGGAAUUACUGGGCGUAAAGAGCACGUAGGCGGAUAAGAAAGUUGAGUGUGAAAUCCCUGGGCUUAACCUGGGAACUGCAUUCAAGACUCCUUGUCUAGAGUAUGGUAGAGGAGAGUGGAAUUUCCGGUGUAGCGGUGAAAUGCGUAGAUAUCGGAAGGAACAUCAGUGGCGAAGGCGACUCUCUGGACCAAUACUGACGCUGAGGUGCGAAAGCGUGGGGAGCAAACAGG
rnacentral:rRNA from 1 species